rnacentral:rRNA from 1 species
UAAUACGGAGGGGGCAAGCGUUGUUCGGAAUUAUUGGGCGUAAAGCGUAUGUAGGCGGUUAAACAAGUCAGGUGUGUAAGCCCAGGGCUCAACCUUGGAAUUGCAUUUGAAACUGUUUGACUUGAGGUCAGGAGAGGAAAGCGGAAUUCCCAGUGUAGCGGUGAAAUGCAUUGAUAUUGGGAAGAACAUCGGUGGCGAAGGCGGCUUUCUGGUCUGAUUCUGACGCUGAGAUACGAAAGCCAGGGGAGCGAACGGGAUUAGAUACCCCGGUAGUCCUGGCUGUAAACGAUGGGUACUAGGUGUAGGGGGUAUCGAUCCCCUCUGUGUCGCAGCUAACGCAUUAAGUACCCCGCCUGGGGAGUACGGUCGCAAGGCUG